CCACCGCGUUCUGUCGCGCCCCGACAGUUCCGCGCAUCGUUCACUGCCGGGCGACAAACAGCCGGGAAAGACGUGCACAGAAGUAUGGAACCGACUCGCGACGCAGUGAGCUCGCAUUCCUUGCGGUCGCGUUCGCUCGCCUGUGUGUAGUCGCAGCUGAGAAGACGACAGCGCGACCUUCGUCAUCCGGCCUGUCGAUCGUGGCCUGCCGAAGCUGGAAGCUGAACCUGCGGUCAUGUCCCGGCUGGUCGCGUCCCGAACUGCCGCGCCACAGUGCGAUCCAGCGCGCAUGUAGGCUUCAACACACUGCACGCAACUACGUUCCUGGCACGCUGUCACCGCAGGUCCGAUACGACGAACGCGUCGUUGAGGGGGCGUUGGGCCCUUGAGCAAAACCGGAGCCGCUGGGCAGCAGCCUUUCACGGGAGUGUCGGCCGGCCAGUCGGGAAGCAUGCCUGCUGCCAUGGAAGAACCGAGGUUGCAACUAAGGUUUUGACCCCGAGCAGGAGAGACGUCCUUGCCUUGCCAUCAGCUGGUCCCCGUAUUACACCUGCCAAGUCGUCGCCGUCGAUGACAUGUGCUACGCGCGCGUUCCGGGAGUCCCCUCGGUCCUUGGCUGCGCAGCGCCGGGACCGGCCCAGCUUUAGCGGCGGCCAGCCUCCACCCGCGCUUGCCAGCGACAGGCGCCGUGCAUCCGACCGAGCUGCCGCCACGCGGCAGAGCGCGGCGCGACGCUGGGGCCAGCAGGUCGUGCGCCGGCGUGAGCUACUGAACGGCGCGGCGUCCGCCAUUGCGAGGAUGCUGCAGCACGCGUUCCAGUCUUCGAUGGCAUGACGGCGUCUGUCUCCAUAGUUCUAGACUUCCAGUUUUCCGAUGUUUCUUGUUUGGUGUAACCAGUAGGACGUCCGAAACCGUUGUCCUCAUCCAUUCUGUGAUCUGCCAUUGAGAUCCCUGCUGCCAGAAGGUUCCUAAAGAUGUGAUUCGAAGGUGGAUGCACACGGCGACCCACUUCAUCCCUUUCAACAUCCUCAGCUGUUGCGUCCACUUUUCUUGCUCUUUCUUUUUUCUCCCCAAAUUGUCCAGCAUUUGCUCCCCUACAUCACAACGCUGGCUUUUGUGGUCAGCUGUGGCGACAACCCCUCAACACACGCCGUCCAUGAACACCGCCGAGAUCUUAGCAACGGCGUUCGACCCGCAUUUGAUUGCUUUUUUUAGGCUUUUAAUAAACUUGCAUCGUUCAUUGUCAGUCUACUUCACGCAUUCUGUUCGUAGUCUGCAAUAUACCUUCCUCGUAAGCGCUACGCACACUCGUUAAUUUCAUCGCAAUUAUCUUCGUUUAUUCCUUUUUUUUUUUCUUGUUAUCGAAGAACACAAAGUCCGCAACGCCAUCGAUUUGAAGUUUUCGGUUAAGCUUGCAUCGCUUUAAUGAAGGAAUGAGUAAAAUGUGUCUGCUCUCCAGGAGCGAACUCUUUUCAUCUCUUGUUUUACACUAGUGGCAAGAGAAUAACAUUUGUAUUGUUGUGUUCAUUUGCUAAUGUAUUAUUAAUGUGUUGAUGUGAUUGCGUGUUGAUUUGUUGUUGUUGGACUUGCGUCUCCGAUCUGGGUACAAUAAAUGUGCUGAGAGCAUAUAUACAAAAAAAAAAAUACAAGGGCGGGGGAUUGUGUACAUGGUUUAUGCGUCUCGAAUUAGAUUGGUAGACGAUUGCACGCGUUGUGCAGAUGUGUGUACGGCUUCUACAGAAGGCAAAUUGUCUUCUACAAUUCGAUUUUAGUUCUUUCGAAAUUUCAAUUAAAGCAUUUCUAUUCUUUU